UACGUAGGGUGCGAGCGUUGUCCGGAAUUAUUGGGCGUAAAGGGCUCGUAGGCGGUUUGUCGCGUCGGGAGUGAAAACACACAGCUUAACUGUGUGCUUGCUUCCGAUACGGGCAGACUAGAGGUAUGCAGGGGAGAACGGAAUUCCUGGUGUAGCGGUGAAAUGCGCAGAUAUCAGGAGGAACACCAGCGGCGAAGGCGGCGCUCUGGGCCGGUACUGACGCUGAGGAGCGAAAGCGUGGGUAGCAAACAGG
rnacentral:rRNA from 1 species